GCCCCCUUAGUAUAACAAAUACCAAUGACUUCCAAUCAUUCAAUCUUAAUUUAUCUUUGAGAGAGGGCA
rnacentral:tRNA from 1 species